rnacentral:tRNA from 1 species
GUCUUUUUAGUAUAAUAUAUUAAUGACUUCCAAUUAUUAGAUUUCAGUUGAAUCUGAAAAAAGACA